UUGACCUUUGCUCUUCAUUUGUUUUUUUUUUAUAGUUUAAUGUACAAUAAUAUUCGAUUUAGCUAGAGCCUAGAGAUCUACAUUGUGUUUUCUUUUUAUUAUCUUUAUAACCAAAUCAGACCUGAGAUCUACUAAAUUGAUAUCACCAUUUGAUUCUUUAAAGAUUCAGUAGUGUGCUGAACACUACCAUGCAAUUAGCUUAAGUUGGUUUGCUCUGAUUUCAGUUUCUUGUAAUCAAUCACAUUUAUAUCCUUACAAAACUAUA
rnacentral:lncRNA from 1 species